rnacentral:lncRNA from 1 species
GAUGAAAGUGAGGCAUGGACAUCCAGCGGAGUGCAGUUUUGCGGUGGAAACAAUUGUGGUGUCAUCGUCGGUGAAACAUCCUUGACCAUAAGUUGGCAUGAGUCACCUAGGAGCUCUGCUUUUUUUUUUGGUCCCAUCAUCGGCCUUGGGUGCCCAAAAUUGGUCAAGGUUUACUGUAUUCAGAAUACAACCCCUGAAAGUGUAGAUGGUCUCAGAAUUGUCGUAAUCGUGGCAGGUCAUUGGGGAUGGAGUAGGUUUACCUGUACUCAGAACUGUUGCCGUAACAUUCACUGGGUAUAAAAAAUCUGGUCAAUGCAAAUGCUCCAAAUUUCUUGCUGUCAGUAUCAGUUUCCUUGAUUGACUGGUGCAUCUAGAGUAUAUUUUUACCCAACUAAUUAGCUCGAG